GUAGAAACUACUGUUAUGUUGUCUCGGUUCAUGGUUGUUGUUUUAGUAAAUGUUUCACCUGCUUCUCUACUCUCAGAGUCUCGGUUACAGACUACUGACUCCAACAAUGGAAGUAGCAAGAAAACAGAAUAUCUCCCAGAAGGUUGACCUUCUAAGUCAACACCAUGACCAGCUGGCACAACUGGGGACGGCUAUGGAAGAGGUUUUUCGCCAUGUGCAAAGUCACGAACACACCCGGGAGGCGUUGUCUUCAACUAGCAGAGGAUACUCUACAACCAGUCGACCCAGUGAGUCAGCCCAUUCAUCAACCUGCUCAGGUCAGCGAUGCCCGUUUGUCCCUCCCAGAUAAAUAUGAUGGCACUCCAUCUAAAUGCCCUGGCUUCCUUCUUCAGUGCUCCUUCGACUUUACACACCAGAUGGGAGCUCCCACGGUCCAAGGUUGCCACAGUUAUUUCUCUGCUGACUGGGAGGGUGUUGGAAUGGGCCACGGCCAUCUGGGAGAGGAGCUAGAAUCUUAUGAGUGGUUCAUGGCUCGGUUUAAAUGUGUCUUCGAUCUUCCCCCGGAGGGCAGAGAGGGGGGUGAGCACCUACUCCAAUUAUGGCAGGGGGACUAGACGGCUGCCGAGUACGCGCUCACCUUCCAGACGGUACCAACAUCCAGCAGAUGGAACUAGCCGGCACUUCGUACGCUAUUUAGGUCUGCGCGAAAUGGUCCAGAUGGAACUGGCCUGUCGAGACAAGCUUUCCUUGGACACACUCAUUGCGAUGGCCAUCCGUCUGGAUAACCUACUUCAGGAGUGCAGGUACUCUCAUUGCGUCUCUCCCUCCCUCAGUGAACACUCGAUUAGAGCCUGAACCCAUGGAGGUAGGGGUCACACGCCUCCCUAUGGCGGAGUGAUGGGGCUCUGUCUGUAUUGUGGUCAAGGAGUGCUCCAGCGGUAUCCGGCACUUCCUAAUCUGGGAUACACAAGAGUAGAUGAACAAUCACGUGAUCUUCCACCUCCUGGGGCAGGACCCUUGAUAGUCAGCCACUAGGAUCUAGAACCAUCCCCUUCAUUACCAGUUCACAAGAUCAUCCUCGAACUCAACGCCAUAACCCCACCAUCUCAUGGUCGAGAAUAAGCAUCAGACUGGUCACCCGAAUGCCGGACGACCUGCUUCCCCAUCCCCUGUGGUUCCACGUCAAUUGAGUCCUGUGGUUGCCCUUCAGCCCAACAUCCCGGAAGUAUACCAGGACCUGCGGGAGGUAUUCUCCAAGACCUGCGCCACCGGUCUUUCUCCUCAUCACCCCUUGGACUGUGCCAUCGACCUGCUUGCCGGUUCCACAGACGCAUCUACCCUCUGUUGGUGGCUGAGACCCAGGCUGUGGAGGAUUACAUUCAAGAGGCGUUCCAUCAAGGUUUCAUCCGCACGUCCACUUCUCCUGCAUCGGCUGAUUUGUUCUUCAUGGCCAAGAAGGAUGGCGGGUUACGUCCAUGUAUUGAUUAUUGACUGGAGUCCGGCCUAUGCCGUCAGAUCCCUACUGGACUCGUGCCGUUGUGGGGGUCGGCUCCAGUAUCUGGUGGACUGGGAGGGGUAUGGCCCAGAGGAGCGGUGUUGGGUUCCGGUGGACAUUCUGGUGGGGGGGUGGUACUGUCAAAUCUUCUCUCGCUCCUUCCCUCCGGCAUUCGACAUCUAACAGCCGGUCCUGGGAUUCAUCAUUACGCACCUGCAUAUCCACAUGAUACCCACCUGGACUCCAUCACCUUCCUGAUUUCCUCACCUAUAUCGGUCACUCCCUUUGGUUCUUUCCUCAGUCAGUAUUGUUCCUGUGUUUAUGCGUAGACGUUACUGUGAUGUUGUCUCGCUUCAUGUUUGUUUUAAACGUUUCACCUGCUUCUCGACUCUCAGCGUCUCUGUUACGUUAGGAUUUGUGUUGCUUCUGUAAGUGCAAGGGGCCAUGUACAGUAUGCUGUACAAACCAGAAUAGUAGAGGAUGGGGGAAAUGUAUAAAUAGACUCAAAGUUUCAGAGACAAAAAAAUGCAGAUCGAAACUACUACGGUCUGAUUUCACAAAAUUUAACCAAGUGUAGGAAUUGGAAGGGGAUGUGAAUGAGCACAAGCCACACUCUGCAUUGCAGGUCUUCAUGUAAAACUCAUAAUUACAUGAUAGGAAACGCCAUUAUCUAGGUUUCGUGAACCAAGUGUUAAAUUGAUUAGUCACAAAUCAGACCUCUAUCCCUCCUCCUGUCCUCAGAGAUAAUUUUAUGCAGUGCACCACAGACAUAGCACCGUGCAGAUUCAUCUUAUGCGGUAAGUAGGUUAUUCUGCAUGACCUUUGGUGCUGUAAGUGCCAAAUAUAUUUUUUGCAAAUCUUCAUUUCACUUAUUUAAUGCAGGGUUCCCCAAUUAUUAUUUUUAACAGCUUGUCAGGGGACCCGGAACAUAACUAUAAAUAGUACAUGGCAAAUUGACCACAAGAAUCCCAAACAGUAUGACCAAACCUUAAUUACAAUCACAUACAGUAGGCCUAUGCCUCUUAACCAAUUACAGUCUGGAGUGGAUGAAUGCAACAACCAUGUCUCUAACAAAUAGUUAUUGGUGGUACCUCUACAAUUCACUUGAAAGGCACUCUGGUAAAUAUGCAAAUAAGGCUUUACAAUAAGCAGUGUUAAUUUAACACUGAAAAGUGUGGACCUCCACACACAGGACCCACGGUCAGUGUUGAUUUAACACAUUUGCUAUGCAUUGUAACAAAAAAUUUGAGAAGCCUUUGACGCAUGCCCUCAAAUAAUGAGAAAGCAUCAGGCCCCAAAGAAGGUCCUGAUUUAGAGGUUUUCAAAACAUUUGCUCAGAUUUGCAUUCCUGCACUACAAAUG
ensembl:lncRNA